rnacentral:rRNA from 1 species
CGUGGGUAACCUUUCUUUGAGACGGGAAUAACCCGGGGAAACUCGGGAUAAUGCCCGAUACGUGCCGAGGCGCAAGCUGAGGACAUGAAUGGCCGCCCGCAAGGGUGGCGCUCGUUGAGGGGCCCGCGGCCCAUCAGGUAGUUGGUGAGGUAACGGCCCACCAAGCCUGCGACGGGUAGCUGGCGUGAGAGCGCGACCAGCCACACUGGAACUGAGACACGGUCCAGACUCCUACGGGAGGCAGCAGUGGGGAAUCUUGGGCAAUGGACGAAAGUCUGACCCAGCGACGCCGUGUGAGGGACGAAGGCCUUCGGGUCGUAAACCUCUGUCGGGAGGGAAAAAAACUUCGCCGGUGAAUAAUCGGCGGAAUUGAUGGUACCUCCAAAGGAAGCCCCGGCUAACUACGUGCCAGCAGCCGCGGUAAUACGUAGGGGGCGAGCGUUGUCCGGAAUUACUGGGCGUAAAGCGCAAGCAGGCGGGGAGGUAAGUUCUGUGUGAAAGAUCCUGGCUCAACCAGGGGACCGCAUGGAAUACUGCCUUUCUUGAGGGGAUGAGAAAGUGAGCGGAACUGCCGGUGUAGCGGUGAAAUGCGUAGAUAUCGGUAGGAACACCCGUGCCGAAAGCGGCUCACUAGCAUCUUUCUGAAGCUCAGUUGCGAAAGCGUGGGGAGCAACGGGAUUAAAGGCCCCGGUAGUCCACGCCGUAAACGAUGGACACUAGGUGUUGGGGAUUAUUUCUCAGCACCGUAGCUAACGCAUUAAGUGUCCCGCCUGGGAGGUACGGCCGCAAGGUUGAAACUCAAAGGAAUUGACGGGGGCCCGCACAAGCGGUGGAGCACGUGGUUUAAUUCGAUGGUAAGCGAAGAACCUUACCUGGGCUUGACAUACUCGUAGUAGAAACCCGAAAGGGCGACGAUCCUGGUUCACACUGGGAAGCGAGCACAGGUGCUGCAUGGCUGUCGUCAGCUCGUGCCGUGAGGUGUUCAGUUAAGUCUGGUAACGAGCGCAACCCCCGUCCUUAGUUGCCAGCGGGUCAUGCCGGGAACUCUAAGGAGACUGCCUCAGCAAUGAGGAGGAAGGUGGGGAUGACGUCAAGUCCUCAUGGCCCUUACGCCCAGGGCUACACACGUGCUACAAUGGUCAGUACAGAGGGUCGCAAGACCGCGAGGUGGAGCCAAUCC